CAGUCGCCGCGGUAAGACAGAAGAUGCAAGCGUUAUCCGGAAUGAUUGGGCGUAAAGCGUCUGUAGGUGGCUUUUCAAGUCCACCGUCAAAUCCCAGGGCUCAACCCUGGACAGGCGGUGGAAACUACCAAGCUAGAGUACGGUAGGGGCAGAGGGAAUUUCCGGUGGAGCAGUGAAAUGCGUUGAGAUCGGAAAGAACACCAACGGCGAAAGCACUCUGCUGGGCCGACACUGACACUGAGAGACGAAAGCUAGGGGAGCAAAUGGGAUUAGAUACCCCUGUAGUCCCUGUCUCUUAUAA
rnacentral:rRNA from 1 species